UUGACUUGUGCAUUUUCCAUUCAAAAAAAUCAGUCAACGUGAGAAGACAACUGAGAAAGGGGGCUUUGAAAGUAGAGGAUGUUUACAACUCUGACUUCGAAGAAAUCAGUCCAAGUUUGUCUUCUACGACCGCUCGACCCCCACCUCAGCUAAUUUCCCAGGCCAUUUGGGCAUUUCCAGUUCCAAAAAAGAUUGUCGGAUGCAAUUGAAGUAGAUUCUCAACCCACAAACGGUGAUUAAGAAAGCGAGACAACUUCAAAAUUCUAGAUUUCUUUAGUAUUGUGCAUUUUGAAGGUGUGAUAUUGCGUUAAAUGCAUUUUGAAAAAUAUAUAGUUUCAUUCUCUUCGCAUUUUGGAUUAUGAUCUAAAAAAUCAGUAGUUUGUUAAAUGCAUUACGGGAAAUUAAGGAUAUCUGCAUCUUCAAACUAUAUUUUGUAAAAUUUUAGUUCCAC
rnacentral:lncRNA from 1 species